rnacentral:rRNA from 1 species
GGGAAUCUGCCCUCAGGUUCGGAAUAACCAUUGGAAACGAUGGCUAAUACCGGAUGAUGACGUUAAGUCCAAAGAUUUAUCGCCUGAGGAUGAGCCCGCGUAGGAUUAGCUAGUUGGUGUGGUAAAGGCGCACCAAGGCGACGAUCCUUAGCUGGUCUGAGAGGAUGAUCAGCCACACUGGGACUGAGACACGGCCCAGACUCCUACGGGAGGCAGCAGUGGGGAAUAUUGGACAGUGGGCGCAAGCCUGAUCCAGCAAUGCCGCGUGAGUGAUGAAGGCCUUAGGGUUGUAAAGCUCUUUUACCCGGGAUGAUAAUGACAGUACCGGGAGAAUAAGCUCCGGCUAACUCCGUGCCAGCAGCCGCGGUAAUACGGAGGGAGCUAGCGUUGUUCGGAAUUACUGGGCGUAAAGCGCACGUAGGCGGCUUUGUAAGUUAGAGGUGAAAGCCUGGAGCUCAACUCCAGAAUUGCCUUUAAGACUGCAUCGCUUGAAUCCAGGAGAGGUGAGUGGAAUUCCGAGU